rnacentral:rRNA from 1 species
AGCGAACGCUGGCGGCAGGCCUAACACAUGCAAGUCGAACGAACUCUUCGGAGUUAGUGGCGGACGGGUGAGUAACACGUGGGAACGUGCCUUUAGGUUCGGAAUAACUCAGGGAAACUUGUGCUAAUACCGAAUGUGCCCUUCGGGGGAAAGAUUUAUCGCCUUUAGAGCGGCCCGCGUCUGAUUAGCUAGUUGGUGAGGUAAAGGCUCACCAAGGCGACGAUCAGUAGCUGGUCUGAGAGGAUGAUCAGCCACAUUGGGACUGAGACACGGCCCAAACUCCUACGGGAGGCAGCAGUGGGGAAUCUUGCGCAAUGGGCGAAAGCCUGACGCAGCCACGCCGCGUGAAUGAUGAAGGUCUUAGGAUUGUAAAAUUCUUUCACCGGGGACGAUAAUGACGGUACCCGGAGAAGAAGCCCCGGCUAACUUCGUG